rnacentral:rRNA from 1 species
GAUGAACGCUGGCGGCGUGCCUAAUACAUGCAAGUCGAGCGAACAGACGAGGAGCUUGCUCCUUUGACGUUAGCGGCGGACGGGUGAGUAACACGUGGGUAACCUACCUAUAAGACUGGGAUAACUUCGGGAAACCGGAGCUAAUACCGGAUAAUAUUUCGAACCGCAUGGUUCGAUAGUGAAAGAUGGCUUUGCUAUCACUUAUAGAUGGACCUGCGCCGUAUUAGCUAGUUGGUAAGGUAACGGCUUACCAAGGCAACGAUACGUAGCCGACCUGAGAGGGUGAUCGGCCACACUGGAACUGAGACACGGUCCAGACUCCUACGGGAGGCAGCAGUAGGGAAUCUUCCGAAAUGGGCGAAAGCCUGACGGAGCAACGCCGCGUGAGUGAUGAAGGUCUUCGGAUCGUAAAACUCUGUUAUUAGGGAAGAACAAACGUGUAAGUAACUGUGCACGUCUUGACGGUACCUAAUCAGAAAGCCACGGCUAACUACGUG